CUCUAUGUGGACCCAAGUUCAUUCAAUACAAAUUCCUGCACGAAAGAUUUGAAAAGGGCCUGUGAGAAGAACGACAUUGCCAAAGCUGACCAAUUGUUCUUCACCAUUGUGAAACAAGACCAUUGGGCGGUCGUUGUUCUAAACUUGAUUCAUAAACAGUUCAAUGUGUUCGACUCCAACAUUAGAGACUCUGAUUAUGUCAGCAUCCUCGAGAAGCCUUGUUCCAAUUUGAUAGAGAACUUCAAAACUCUGGUGAGAGGAAGAAACCCUUGGAAGCACAAUCUUGACAUGUUUGAGCGCUUCAGUCCAUCAGGCUACCCACAACAGUCAACAACGUACUGUUUUCCGCAACUAUACAUUAUUUUUCUGGCAACUUUUUAUUUCAUAU